rnacentral:rRNA from 1 species
AUUGAACGCUGGCGGCAGGCCUAACACAUGCAAGUCGAACGAGUGGCGGACGGGUGAGUAAUGUAUGGGAAACUGCCUGAUGGGGGGGGAUAACUACUGGAAACGGUAGCUAAAACAGCAUACCAUCAGAUGUGCCCAGAUGGGAUUAGCUAGUUGGUGGGGUAACGGUUCACCAAGGCGACGAUCCCUAGCUGGUCGGAGAGGACGACCAGCCCCAUGGGAACUGAGACACGGGCCAUACUCCUACGGUAGGCAGCAGUGGGGAAGAUUGCACAAUGGGCUCAAUCCUGAGGCAGCCAUGCCGAGUGUAUGAAGAAGGCCUUCGGGUUGUAAAGUACUUUCAGCGGGUAGGCGUUACCCGCAGAAGAAGCACCGGCUAACUCCGUGCCAGCAGCCGCGGUAAUAC